AUUAUGGUUAUGACCCUUUUGGUCUCAGCAAAAAGGCAGAGGACUUUGCCAAAUAUCAGGCAUUUGAGUUGAUUCACGCCAGAUGGGCAAUGCUUGGUGCAACUGGAUUCAUCAUUCUUGAGGCCUUCAACAAAUAUGGAGCAAAUUGUGGUCCUGAGGCUGUUUUGUUCAAGUUAUUGCAUUUGGGAGCUGAUGUCAUUUCUUCUGAUGAACUGUUGCUUUGCGUGGAUGACCUUGCUGACCAGAUUGCAUAAGUCCUUGAUUUCUUUGGGUAUGUUCAACAUCGAAUAUUCAAAAUAAUCCCUAUUGUUUUUUUAGGAAGAAAGUGAUAUCCCCUGUUAU